UUGUCAGCAGCUAAAACAGUCAAGCGUGAGAUAAAUCUCUUAUUCUGAAGGGUCACAUUGAUGUGUAGCCCAUGUGACUAACUCCAGCCAACCGGAUUGCUAUGUUCUCGCGCCAGAAGAAGAAGUAGAAAGAGCGAAGAAGAAGCAAAGAACAAAGAAGCUAAGAGAGUUGUACUGUGAACGAGAAAAAGAUAAGAGAAAUCGACAAUUAAAAACAUUUUUUCCAUUUUUGGAGAAGGAGCGUUCUGCACUUUUCAACCUGACUGCGUUCGGGAUUGUGUUAUAUGUUACAGAACUGGACUUGGCCUUUUUGAGGUUCUGCUGGAAAUUGGACCGGGACAUUCCGAGUCGAUUGCUGAGUUGGAUUCCGCUAGUGAGAAACAAGAUGGCGAGCCGGAACCCAGGAGUCCUGUAACCAUCCAGCAGGAGCUGCGCCCUCUGCUGGAUACUGCAAUUCAUCCAAACUGGUAUGACCUGCCCAUGUUUCCUGCUGAAAUAGCAGUGGAUUCAGAAAAACGGGAUUAACCCUUCAGGAUCAUCAGAGAGAAAAUACAUCGAUUUGAACCACAAGUUAUUCAGUCUUUUGCUGGAUUGUGUCUGUUGUGUUUUAUUGGUUUUUUCCUUUGAACCACAUCCAAUGUCUGUUGUUGCAGUGUGUGGAAUGUAAAAUUGUUUGUUGGGUUUAAAUUAGAAAUAAGAAACGGUUAAAACAGAAAAUGAAGAAACCUUAACUUCUUAAAAGAACACUAAACUAAAAUAGAUUUAAAAUAUUAAAACAAACUUUCAAUUAAAUAGAUUAACAGUAUCAACUUGAACUUAAAUAGAACUAUAACCUAGGUUUAAAUAAAUAGUAUCCUUUAAUACCUAAUAGGUUUAAAUUUCAAAAAAGGGAUUAAAUAAAUCAUUCUGAAGAAAUAGGGGAACUAUUUUGUAUUGAAUUUGUGUCAUUGUAUGUAAACUGUUUGUAUAAUUGUUUAUUUUCUUUUCUACAAAAAUAACAAGCCGGCAGUUUAAAAUUA